AGUACUUCCACAACCUACCUUGGGUUGUGGGGAGUGGACAUUACUCUACAUGGCCUCUGGUGUUUUUUGUUAUGCAAAGUUCUAUUCUCAAGUCCUAAGAUGGCCUUUUCUGAGAUUCAGGUGAAAUUCAUCACCUUUCAGACAUGUCAACAAGAACACUGUUAGUUGACAACAUUCUGAGACUGUAAGGAGGUCGAAAUGUUUGCUCUUGUGUAAAGUGUAGUUAGCAACAGGGACCCAGACCUCUAGCACCACAUAUCUUCUCUAAGAAUGUAGUUUUAAAAUUUUGAGACUGGGCAUCCAAGGAGACAGCUGAACUUCAUGUGGACACUGUGCACUUUAAAGGCCUCCAUCAGGCCAAAAGACAUUCUCUUCUAAACUUUGCCUUCUUGCCUUUUUGUUUGGAGGAGCUUAAUUUCCUCAUGCUUAGCUUUGAUAAUGUCACUUUUAGGUUAACUCCUUUUCCUUAGACUAUCCUUCAAGCUCAUUACCUAUGACUCAUUGUAACCUGUCUAUUGCUUUAGCUAAAAUAUAAUUAUUUACCAGAGUGGAAGUGUCUUUCACUGAAGCAGUAGGGUCCUCAGUUCUCUGAACUGUUACCUGGAAAAUGGGUACCUCCCUGAUAGGGAGGGCUAUUUUAAAUCUCAAGACAAUGUGUAUCAUUUAUUAGACAUGUGCUAUAUUAUCAAUAUCUGAUAAUAUCUUAAGUUAGUUACUGAAAUUAGCAUGUAAAGCAACAUUUAUUAAAUUUUUUUAAAUUUGUGAGUGGCUUAAGGAAAGGCCAAAAGGAAGAAUGUAUGCAGGUACUUAAGUAAUGGAACAUUUUUACCUUUAAGAUCAACUUCCCAGUGGGAAAUAGGGGAUCUGGGGAAUUCUAAAGACUUUGACCAUUAGAUUUGCUGUUUUGGUUCCAUAUUAAUCCUUACCUUUAACAGAUUUAUAGUUGUACAAAUUGUAUUAUAUAUAAAGCACUUACCUGGUGUCUUGUCACAGCCUUAGUGGCUGUGACAUUAACUACCUUUUUUUUUUUUUUGUAUUCAGAGUACUAACAGUAGUAGUAACAGUGGUACUUUAAGAUAUGGAACAGUACCUAACAUAGGACACACACACACACACACGGCAGAUUAUUAUUUACCAGACAUUGUGCAUUUUGGUGUGUGUGUGUUUGUGUGUGUGUGUGUGUGUGUGUGUGUGUGUGUGUGUGUGUGUGUAGCUUGUAAAGUUUAAGAAGGAAGAAUUUGGCCAUGUAUUUUCAAUCACCAUGUUUCUUGCAGUGUGCCAGUGAGCCUUUGGUCAGCAGACACAUUUUAUUGCAGAUUUUGCUCUCAGGUCAGUGUUACAGGAGAGAAGGCCUGUUGUACUACACCGCUGGAGACGAGAUUCCAUAGUGUAUGGAAUCUAUACUACACCGCUGGAGACGAGACUCCAUAGUGUAUGGAGGCAGGGAGGUGGCCUUACUCACCUUUGUGUUUCUGCAUUUCCUGGCACAUGAUGGGUAUGGGUACUUAGUGAGAGAAUGGAUGGCUAGAAGAAGAAAAGAGCUCAAUAAAACCGGGAGAAACCUUACAUACCUAACAGUGUUGUAAUGCGAUCAAUUUAAAAUUAAUUAAAAUAAUAGUACUUAAUACUUAAAAUAAUAAUAAUUAAUAAUUACUUAGUAAGUAUUGGUUUCGCUUGUGCCUGUAUAUCUCUGCUUCUUUUCAAAAUGAAUAUAGUUUUAUUUUUGAGAGAAGUAAUGUUUGUUGUUCUGAUAUAAACUGAGAUAAUUCAUGAAAAUUUAAAGGAAGUUGGCCACACCCCUAUUCCUUACAAUCAUAUUUAGUAGUAUGUAUCUAUUACAUACUUUACUCCUACAUGCAUACAUAUAUGUUAUAAAAUAACAAGAUAAUAUGAAGUACAUUGUUUUAUAGUUCAUGAUGUUUCACUUAACAGUGUAUUUCAGAAUAACUUUCUGGCUAAUUCUAUGCAAUCAUUUCAAGGAAUUCACAGUAGUGUCACAUUAUAAAUGCUAUAAUUGGCAUUUAACAUAAUCUAAUGUUUGGUUACUAUAAACAGUGCUUAAAUUACCAUUUGUAUACAUACAUAUUCAUAUACUUACUGGGUUGUCUUACUAGAAAAAAGUCGAAGGCUUAAUUGCUUCAAUUCUAAUGAAAUGCAUGCUUUUGGCACCAACCUGCCAAAAUGAAGAAACACUUGUUAAAGAGAAACAGUUGAUUUCCUUCUAGUUUUACAACUGGUCUUAUUAGAAAAUGGUUUUCCUUCAGCUGUUACCAUGGGUAUUUGAUGUUCUGUCUUCUUGCCUUGAUUACAAGCGGUUUGUGACUCUGACCAAAAUAAAGCCAUGGGCUUUCUAAUGUUAAUUCAUGGAUGGCUGAGCAGUGAGAAACAAUUGCUUUUAAAUAUGGCUGCUUCCAUGCAAAUGUUCAAACUUGUUUUCAAGCAACAUCAAAUUCUAGGGAAACUGAAGUAUCGGGUCUCUAGAGCUCCUUAUAGGCCUGAGUUGUGCUAAGCUGUAAGUGGCCACUGCUAAAUUGUAGGGUCAGAAACGACAAGUUAAACCUGUAUGACUGGCCACUUUCUUUCUGUGUGUACUAGUGGGAACAGUGUUGCAGAAUUUGAUUUAUUUGUGUGUGUGCGUGUGUGUGUGUGUGUGUGUGUGUGUGUGUGUGUGUGUGUGUGU
rnacentral:lncRNA from 1 species